rnacentral:rRNA from 1 species
CCUUGCCAGCCCGCUCAGAACUCAAGGAAUUGACGGGGCCGCACAAGCGGUGGAGUAUGUGGUUUAAUUCGAUGCAACGCGAAGAACCUUACCUGGUCUUGACAUCCCGGAGACCCUUAGGAAACUAGGGGGUGCUUCCAUCUGGAAGAAUCUGGAGACAGGUGCUGCAUGGCUGUCGUCAGCUCGUGUCGUGAGAUGUUGGGUUAAGUCCCGCAACGAGCGCAACCCUUGCCUUUAGUUGCCAGCAGUUCGGCUGGGCACUCUAAAGGGACUGCCGGUGUUAAACCGGAGGAAGGUGGGGAUGACGUCAAGUCCUCAUGGCCUUUAUGACCAGGGCUACACACGUACUACAAUGGCCGAUACAAAGGGCAGCGACACUGCGAGGUGAAGCCAAUCCCGUAAAAUCGGUCUCAGUACGGAUUGGAGUCUGCAACUCGACUCCAUGAAGUUGGAAUCGCUAGUAAUCGUGGAUCAGCAUGCCACGGUGAAUACGUUCCCGGGCCUU